rfam:Rattus norvegicus chromosome 3, whole genome shotgun sequence.
GGGGAUUUAGCUCAGUGGUAGAGCGCUUGCCUAGCAAGCACAAGGCCCUGGGUUCGAUCCCCAGCUCCG